rnacentral:tRNA from 2 species
GCCGGCGUAGCUCAAUUGGCAGAGCACUCGCCUUGUAAGCGAGGGGUUGCGGGUUCGAGUCCCGCCGCCGGCUCCA